CACGCUGUAAACGAUGGAUGCUCGGUGUCGGGGGUAUCGACCCCCUCGGCGCCUAAGGUAACCCGGUAAGCAUCCCGCCUGGGGAGUACGGCCGCAAGGUUGAAACUCAAAGGAAUUGAC
rnacentral:rRNA from 1 species